CUGGCUCAGGAUGAACGCUAGCGGCAGGCUUAACACAUGCAAGUCGAGGGGCAUCGGGAGUAGCAAUACUUGCCGGCGACCGGCGCAAGGGUGCGUAACGCGUGAGCAACAUGCCCGUAUCAGGGGGAUAAUCCAUGGAAACGUGGUCUAAUACCCCAUAGUAAUUAUGUAAGGCAUCUUAUAUAAUUUAAAGCUUUGGUGGAUACGGAUUGGCUCGCGUGACAUUAGCUGGAUGGUAAGGUAACGGCUUACCAUGGCUACGAUGUCUAGGGGUUCUGAGAGGAAGGUCCCCCACACUGGAACUGAGACACGGUCCAGACUCCUACGGGAGGCAGCAGUGAGGAAUAUUGGACAAUGGAUGGAAAUCUGAUCCAGCCAUGCCGCGUGCAGGAAGACGGCCCUAUGGGUUGUAAACUGCUUUUGUAUGGGAGCAAUAAGGGCUACGUGUAGUCCGAUGAGAGUACCAUACGAAUAAGCACCGGCUAACUCCGUGCCAGCCGCCGC
rnacentral:rRNA from 1 species